rnacentral:rRNA from 1 species
UACGUAGGUGACGAGCGUUAUCCGGAAUUACUGGGCGUAAAGCGCACGCACGCGGUUGGACAAGUCUGGCGUGAAAUCCUCUGGCUUAACCAGGGGCGGUCGCUGGAGACUGUUCGGCUUGAGGCGAUGAGAGGGGUGCAGAAUUCCCGGUGUAGUGGUGGAAUGCGUAGAGAUCGGGAGGAAUACCAGUGGCGAAAGCGGCACCCUGGCGUCGUACUGACGCACAUGUGCGAAAGCGUGGGGAGCGAACGGG